rnacentral:rRNA from 1 species
ACUCCUACGGGAGGCAGCAGUGGGGAAUAUUGGACAAUGGGCGAAAGCCUGAUCCAGCAAUGCCGCGUGUGUGAAGAAGGCCUGCGGGUUGUAAAGCACUUUCGGUAGGAAAGAAAAGGCCGUCGCUAAUACCGGCGGUUCUUGACGUUACCUACAGAAGAAGCACCGGCUAAUUCCGUGCCAGCAGCCGCGGUAAU